UUUCAGGGUUCAGGUGAGGAUCUUCCUGGCAGUUUGAAUCCAGAUUUGGGGGCUUAGACGGGACCUGGACUCAGAGCAGCGUCUCCGUCCGUCUGAUCUUCUUGGCGUCUUUGCUGCUGGCAGUAAGACGAUCACACAGAGCCGAUCGCAGACUGCUGAGGGGCUUUUUUUCCCCAGUGGUCCUUUUUUGAGCAGGAUGGCUCAUCUGUCAUCUGCUCCACCUGCGUCAGAACAAUAAUAUCCCUGCCAGGUGUGAUGGACAGCUGAGGCGGCGCGCUGACAGCAGCGUGGUGUCCGGACACAGAUUGAAGGUGGGGACCGACGUCCAGAAUCCCAUCAGGAGUCUGUUCACAAGGACGCCUGAGCCGCCUGGAGACGCCGCGUCCUCCACCUGCAAUAAAACACCUCCGCCCUCCAAA